GCCCCCAUAACUCAAUGGCAGAGUAGUGGCCUCUUAAGCCAUUAAUCCAGGUUCGAGUCCUGGUGGGGGCACAA
rnacentral:tRNA from 1 species